UCAAGCGACUAAGUGUAUGUGGUGGAUGCCUUGGCGAUUACAGGCGAAGAAGGACGUCGCAGCCUGCGAAAAGCCGUGGGGAGCUGGCAAGCGAGCACUGAUCCACGGAUGUCCGAAUGAGGGAACUCACCCGCAAGGGUAUCUUGAAGUGAAUACAUAGCUUCAAGAGGCGAACGCAGCGAACUGAAACAUCUAAGUAGCUGCAGGAAAAGAAAUCAACCGAGAUUCUGAAAGUAGCGGCGAGCGAAAUUGGAAGAGCCUGCAAGUGAUAUUGAAUUCGAUACUGGAACGGUCUGGAAAGUCCGGCUACAGAGGGUGACAGCCCCGUACGGGAAAUUGGGUUCAAGGUACUGAGCUUGCGAGAAGUAGAGCGGGACACGUGAAAUCCUGCUCGAAGAUGGGGGGACCAUCCUCCAAGGCUAAAUACUCGUAAUCGACCGAUAGCGAACCAGUACUGUGAAGGAAAGGCGAAAAGAACCCCGGGAGGGGAGUGAAAUAGAUCCUGAAACCGCAUACAUACAAACAGUAGGAGCCCGCAAGGGUGACUGCGUACCUUUUGCAUAAUGGGUCAGCGACUUACGUUCAAUGGCAAGCUUAACCGAGUAGGGGAGGCGCAGCGAAAGCGAGUCCGAACAGGGCGAUAUGAGUCGUUGGGCGUAGACCCGAAACCAGAUGAUCUAUCCAUGGCCAGGCUGAAGGUGUGGUAACACACACUGGAGGGCCGAACCGACUAGUGUUGCAAAAUUAGCGGAUGAGCUGUGGAUAGGGGUGAAAGGCUAAACAAAUCUGGAGAUAGCUGGUUCUCCCCGAAAACUAUUGAGGUAGUGCCUCGUGUAUGGCUCCAGGGGGUAGAGCACUGUUAUGGCUAGGGGGACAUGGCGUCUUACCAAACCAUGGCAAACUCCGAAUACUUGGAAGUCUGAGCACGGGAGACAGAGCACCGGGUGCUAACGUCCGGACUCAAAAGGGAAACAACCCAGACCGCCGGCUAAGGUCCCUAAUAUUGACUAAGUGGAAAACGAAGUGGGAAGGCUAAGACAGUCAGGAAGUUGGCUUAGAAGCAGCCAUCCUUCAAAGAAAGCGUAAUAGCUCACUGAUCGAGUCUUCCUGCGCGGAAGAUGUAACGGGGCUAAGUCAAUAACCGAAGCCGCGGAUUCGCAGCAAUGCGAGUGGUAGGGGAGCGUUCUGUAAGCCUGCGAAGGCGGAUCUGCGAGGACCGCUGGAGGUAUCAGAAGUGCGAAUGCUGACAUGAGUAACGUUAAAGCGGGUGAAAAGCCCGCUCGCCGCAAGCCCAAGGUUUCCUGCUCUACGUUCAUCGGAGCAGGGUGAGUCGGCCCCUAAGGUCAGGCUGAGAAGCGUAGCUGAUGGGAAGCUGGUUAAUAUUCCAGCACCGAUUUCAAGUGCGAAGGGGGGACGGAGUCCUGAAGGUCAUCCGGGUGUUGGAUAUCCCGGUUUACGAGCGUAGGAGGUUGACAGGCAAAUCCGUCAACGAAUCUCCAAGGCGAAGGAUCGAGGUUGAGAGAUCAACUGAAGUGACUGAAUGGGCUUCCAGGAAAAGCCUCUAAGCAUCAGCUUGGAAUUGACCGUACCGCAAACCGACACUGGUGGGCGAGCUGAAUAUGCUCAGGCGCUUGAGAGAACUCAGGAGAAGGAACUCGGCAAAUUGACACCGUAACUUCGGGAUAAGGUGUGCCUUUGUAGUGUGAAGGGAGAAACACCCCGAGCAUGAAGAGGCCUCAGAGAAUCGGUGGCUGCAACUGUUUACUAAAAACACAGCACUCUGCAAAGAUGAAAGUCGACGUAUAGGGUGUGAUGCCUGCCCGGUGCUGGAAGAUUAAUUGAUGGGGUGCAAGCUCCUGAUCGAAGUCCCAGUAAACGGCGGCCGUAACUAUAACGGUCCUAAGGUAGCGAAAUUCCUUGUCGGGU
rnacentral:rRNA from 1 species